CCAGUGAGCUGGUUGGUAGCUCGUUGGGCAAGCACUUAGUCUCUGCAGCCUCCCUGUUACAGGUUGUCAGGAGACUUCAUCUGCUCAUCCUCCACCAGCUGGGGGAGAGGGGAAGGUAGCAAUGUCAGCUGCUCCCAGUGAGACUCAAUGUGAGCCCAGCUCAAGCACCGUCUCAGGGCAAGAGCUGGUAUUGGUGGGAGUGUCUACCACGGGGCUCAGGAAGACGAGCACAGGGCUGCAGCUCACUGUGGCAGCUAAAGCAGCUUUCACGCACAUCAGCUGUGAGUGAGUGGCUUCAGUUCCUUGCUGGUUCCGGAUGAUAAAGAACUCCCAAGUUGGAAACUAAGUUGAGAGACGAGGAGAAAAGGAGACAACUAGAGAGAAGGCGCGGACUGGGAUGCAUCACCUUGCAGAUUCUUCCACUAACUUAUGAAUGGGGAAACUGGACCUCAAGGAAGUCACCCAACCUCCUCCAAUCCUACAUGGCAGGUCCACAUCCUAGCUGUUCCUAGCGCCACACUCUGCUUUCUGGGCAAGCUCGGGUCCCUGCUGUAACUUGGAGUUGAAAGUUGGUUCUCAUUACUUUCAAAUGCUUCUGCCCUCAGUUAACGCUUCAAGCUUAACAUCUUACCAAAGGACCAAUAAAUCUCAUUUCCAAUAAGUAACUGCCCGCAGUGAAACACGCAAAAAAAAAAAAAAAUCCCCCAAAAGCGUUGCUCACUACUUCAAUUCGAGGCGUGGACUGCUACAGUCUGUCCACAGCGACGAGGCAGACACUGGGCACCAGCCCAGCAACACAUUCUUUGACAGCAGCAUGAAAUAUUUUACAACAGUUUCCAGGAAGUUCUCACUGGCUGUCCCAAUUACAAUGAAGUCUUCUUGAGGCAUCUGUUGAAGGGAGCCUUAACACACACAUCCCACUGGCAUCCUCGAAGCUUCAUGACAGCAAGCAGAUCCUGAGGACAAGGGAAACUGGGAUAGCGGAUCUUGGUUGUCAGCCUGAUUAGAUUCAAGAGCAAUCGAGAAACGCACUUCUGCGACGGUUAUGGGGAUAUUUUCUAGAAGAACUGACUGAAGGGAGGAAGGCUGUUCCUCAGAGUGGCCAUCAACUUCCUGUGGGGGGAGGGGGGCUCAGCUAUGAAGAUGUCUGAAGUAAAAGCAGGGCUGUUUUUACCUGCCUGCCUUCAGUCCUUGCUGGUGAGCCCAUUACCCCACCGUUAUCACGGCAGUCAGCGUCCUUCACUGAUGUCAGACUCCAACCUUUCCGGCUUCCCAAUGUGGCUUCCCAGGAACGCUCCAGGCCCUUGGCUGCCUUUUCAACCUCUGCACUGUGAAGGCAGACAUUGCUGGACUUCACAGUGGAUCGACUACCCAGCUUGUAUCCUAUAAGCCAAUUUAAUAAAUCCCUUUGUGAUACCCA
ensembl:lincRNA Gm30725 predicted gene, 30725